rnacentral:rRNA from 1 species
AACACGUGAGUAACCUGCCCUUGACUCUGGGAUAACUGCUAGAAAUGGUAGCUAAUACCGGAUACGACCCUCGGCCGCAUGGUCAGGGGGUGGAAAGAAUUUUGGUCAAGGAUGGACUCGCGGCCUAUCAGGUAGUUGGUGAGGUAAUGGCUCACCAAGCCCACGACGGGUAGCCGGCCUGAGAGGGUGACCGGCCACACUGGGACUGAGACACGGCCCAGACUCCUACGGGAGGCAGCAGUGGGGAAUAUUGCACAAUGGGCGAAAGCCUGAUGCAGCAACGCCGCGUGAGGGACGACGGCCUUCGGGUUGUAAACCUCUUUUAGUAGGGAAGAAGCGAAAGUGACGGUACCUGCAGAAAAAGCACCGGCUAACUACGUGCCAGCAGCCGCGGUAAUACGUAGGGUGCAAGCGUUGUCCGGAAUUAUUGGGCGUAAAGAGCUCGUAGGCGGUUUGUCGCGUCUGCUGUGAAAUCCGGAGGCUCAACCUCCGGCCUGCAGUGGGUACGGGCAGACUAGAGUGCGGUAGGGGAGAUUGGAAUUCCUGG